GUGGGGAAUAUUGCGCAAUGGGCGGAAGCCUGACGCAGCGACGCCGCGUGAGGGAUGACGGCCUUCGGGUUGUAAACCUCUUUCAGCAGGGACGAAGCGUGAGUGACGGUACCUGCAGAAGAAGCACCGGCCAACUACGUGCCAGCAGCCGCGGUAAUACGUAGGGUGCAAGCGUUGUCCGGAAUUAUUGGGCGUAAAGAGCUCGUAGGCGGUUUGUCGCGUCGGCUGUGAAAGCCCGGAGCUCAACUCCGGGUCUGCAGUCGAUACGGGCAGACUUGAGUGUUGCAGGGGAGACUGGAAUUCCUGGUGUAGCGGUGAAAUGCGCAGAUAUCAGGAGGAACACCGGUGGCGAAGGCGGGUCUCUGGGCAACAACUGACGCUGAGGAGCGAAAGCGUGGGGAGCGAACAGGAUUAGAUACCCGAGUAGUCC
rnacentral:rRNA from 1 species